rnacentral:rRNA from 1 species
AACGAACGCUGGCGGCAGGCCUAACACAUGCAAGUCGAACGCUCCGCAAGGAGAGUGGCAGACGGGUGAGUAACACGUGGGAAUCUUCCUAUCGGUACGGAAUAGCUCAGGGAAACUUGGGGUAAUACCGCAUACGCCCUUCGGGGGAAAGAUUUAUCGCCGAUAGAUGAGCCCGCGUCUGAUUAGCUAGUUGGUGAGGUAACGGCUCACCAAGGCGACGAUCAGUAGCUGGUCUGAGAGGAUGACCAGCCACACUGGGACUGAGACACGGCCCAGACUCCUACGGGAGGCAGCAGUGGGGUAUAUUGGACAAUGGGCGCAAGCCUGAUCCAGCCAUGCCGCGUGAGUGACGAAGGUCUUCGGAUUGUAAAGCUCUUUUGGCGGGGACGAUAAUGACGGUACCCGCAGAAUAAGCCCCGGCUAACUUCGUGCCAGCCGCCGCAGUAA